AGAGUUUGAUCUUGGCUCAGAUUGAACGCUGGCGGCAGGCUUAACACAUGCAAGUCGAACGGUAACAGGAAGGAAGCUUGCUUUCUUUGCUGACGAGUGGCGGACGGGUGAGUAAUGCUUGGGAAUCUGGCUUAUGGAGGGGGAUAACUACGGGAAACUGUAGCUAAUACCGCGUAAUAUCUUCGGAUUAAAGGGUGGGACCGUAAGGCCACCUGCCAUAAGAUGAGCCCAAGUGGGAUUAGGUAGUUGGUGGGGUAAAGGCCUACCAAGCCGACGAUCUCUAGCUGGUCUGAGAGGAUGACCAGCCACACUGGAACUGAGACACGGUCCAGACUCCUACGGGAGGCAGCAGUGGGGAAUAUUGCACAAUGGGGGGAACCCUGAUGCAGCCAUGCCGCGUGAAUGAAGAAGGCCUUCGGGUUGUAAAGUUCUUUCGGUGAUGAGGAAGGCGGUUGUUUUAAUAGAACAAUCGAUUGACGUUAGUCACAGAAGAAGCACCGGCUAACUCCGUGCCAGCAGCCGCGGUAAUACGGAGGGUGCGAGCGUUAAUCGGAAUGACUGGGCGUAAAGGGCACGCAGGCGGUGACUUAAGUGAGAUGUGAAAGCCCCGGGCUUAACCUGGGAAUUGCAUUUCAUACUGGGUCGCUAGAGUAUUUUAGGGAGGGGUAGAAUUCCACGUGUAGCGGUGAAAUGCGUAGAGAUGUGGAGGAAUACCGAAGGCGAAGGCAGCCCCUUGGGAAUAUACUGACGCUCAUGUGCGAAAGCGUGGGGAGCAAACAGGAUUAGAUACCCUGGUAGUCCACGCUGUAAACGCUGUCGAUUUGGGGAUUGGGCUUUAAGCUUGGUGCCCGUAGCU
rnacentral:rRNA from 1 species